rnacentral:rRNA from 1 species
AUUGAACGCUGGCGGCAUGCUUUACACAUGCAAGUCGAACGGUAACAGGUUAAGCUGACGAGUGGCGAACGGGUGAGUAAUGCAUCGGAACGUGCCCGAUCGUGGGGGAUAACACUUCGAAAGAAGUGCUAAUACCGCAUACGAUCUGAGGAUGAAAGCGGGGGACCGUAAGGCCUCGCGCGAUCGGAGCGGCCGAUGUCAGAUUAGGUAGUUGGUGGGGUAAAGGCCUACCAAGCCGACGAUCUGUAGCUGGUCUGAGAGGACGACCAGCCACACUGGGACUGAGACACGGCCCAGACUCCUACGGGAGGCAGCAGUGGGGAAUUUUGGACAAUGGGCGCAAGCCUGAUCCAGCAAUGCCGCGUGCAGGAAGAAGGCCUUCGGGUUGUAAACUGCUUUUGUACGGAGCGAAAAGGCUCUCUCUAAUACAGGGGCUGAUGACGGUACCGUAAGAAUAAGCACCGGCUAACUACGUGCCAGCCGCCGCAGUAA